UACGGAAGGCAGCAGUGGGGAAUAUUGCACAAUGGGCGAAAGCCUGAUGCAGCUAUGCCGCGUGUAUGAAGAAGGCCUUAGGGUUGUAAAGUACUUUCAUCGGGGAGGAAAAACAAAACUAAUAAUUUUAUUUCUUGACGUUACCCGAAAAAGAAGCACCGGCUAACUCCGUGCCAGCAGCCGCGGUAAUACGGAGGGUGCUAGCGUUAAUCAGAAUUACUGGGCGUAAAGAGCACGUAGGUGGUUUUUUUAAGUCAGAUGUGAAAUCCCUGGGCUUAACCUAGGAACUGCAUUUUGAAACUGAAAUACUAGAGUAUCGUAGAGGGAGGUAGAAUUCUAGGUGUAGCGGUGAAAUGCGUAGAUAAUCUGGAGGAAAUACCUGUGGCGAAAGCGGCCUCCUAAACGAAAUACCUGACACUGAGGGUGCGAAAGCGU
rnacentral:rRNA from 1 species